rnacentral:tRNA from 1 species
GCGCUCGUGGCGGAAUCGGCAGACGCGCCGGAUUUAGGAUCCGGUGGGAAACCGUGAGGGUUCAAAUCCCUCCGAGCGCACCA